GACAGAGGGUGCAAACGUUGUUCGGAAUUACUGGGCGUAAAGCGCAUGUAGGCGGCCUAGCAGGUCGGAUGUGAAAUCCCUCGGCUCAACCAAGGAAGUGCAUUCGAAACCGCAAGGCUGGAGCCCCGGAGAGGAUGGUGGAAUUCUCGGUGUAGAGGUGAAAUUCGUAGAUAUCGAGAGGAACACCGGCGGCGAAGGCGGGUUGCUGGGCCGACACUGACGCUGAUGCGCGAAAGCCAGGGGAGCGAACGGG
rnacentral:rRNA from 1 species